rnacentral:misc_RNA from 1 species
GAGGAAAGUCCGGGCAGCACAGAGCAAGGGUGCCUGGUGAAAGCCAGGGAGGCGCUAUCUGGCGUCGACAGUCCAGACCGGCACACUCCUCAGGAGUGUGAGAGCAACAGAGACCAAUCUAUUGUGCCAAGGCGCAAUAGCUGAAAAGGGCAAUCCUCCUCGCUGCAAUCUCCGAUCCGGCCGUUACCAGGUUGCUCGCCAAGGCCGAAAGACGAGAGCCGUCGGUGCUCGCAUCGACCGGUCUAUUCGACCGAGAAAGAUGAUCGCCAGGAACAGAACGCGGCUUA